UAAGGAAUAUUGGUCAAUGGACGGAAGUCUGAACCAGCCAUGCCGCGUGGAGGAUGAAGGCCCUCUGGGUUGUAAACUUCUUUUAUUUGGGACGAAACACUCUUUAUCUAAAGAGCUUGACGGUACCAGAUGAAUAAGCACCGGCUAACUCCGUGCCAGCAGCCGCGGUAAUACGGAGGGUGCAAGCGUUAUCCGGAUUCACUGGGUUUAAAGGGUGCGUAGGCGGAUUUGUAAGUCCGUGGUGAAAUCUCUAAGCUUAACUUGGAAAUUGCCGUGGAUACUAUAAGUCUUGAAUAUUGUGGAGGUUAGCGGAAUAUGUCAUGUAGCGGUGAAAUGCAUAGAUAUGACAUAGAACACCAAUUGCGAAGGCAGCUGGCUACACAACUAUUGACGCUGAGGCACGAAAGCGUGGGGAUCAAACA
rnacentral:rRNA from 1 species